GAGAUCUGUAAAGUUACAUCGCUAAAGCAGCUAAAGACGCUGUAAAAACCUUUUAUCGAUGAAUUUUACAUUGGAAUAUCAAAGCUGGGACACUUCGCCAGAAAUAUGUGUUUACAGAAGAAUAUUUCUUACACUUUAUGGCUAUAAAGAUGUAACAUUGCUAACAUUGUUAGUGUUUUUCGAGACAAACGGAAUAUGAGUGUUUCUCGAGACAAGCGGUUUAUAUGCCAGGUCCAGUGUGUAAAUAAAGAACAAAUG